AUGAAAACAAGUGUGGAGAGAGAAGAGAAAGUGAAAGAACGGAGAAACUGAGGAAAUAAUGUGGAGAAGGGAGAUAGCUAGAAUAGGAGCAAAUACUGCCUGACAGUGCCUGUGUGUCAUCUACUCAAGUUCACCAAAGUCAGCCAACAGCUGUGGUUCCAGAUUGCAUCCUGUUUCUUCUUCUACAACAGCAAGUUCAUCCACACAUCCUGCAUCCUGUUUCUUCUUCUACAACAGCAAGUUCAUCCACACAUCCUGCAGCCUGUUUCUUCUUCUACAACAGCAAGGUCAUCCACACAUCCUGCAGCCUGUUUCUUCUUCUACAACAGCAAGGUCAUCCACACAUCCUGCAGCCUGUUUUUUCUUCUACAACAGCAAGGUCAUCCACACAUCCUGCAGCCUGUUUCUUCUUCUACAACAGCAAGGUCAUCCACAUCCUAGUGCAGCCUGUUUCUUCUUCUACAACAGCAAGGUCAUCCACAUCCUAGUGCAGCCUGUUUCUUCUUCUACAACAGCAAGGUCAUCCACACAUCCUGCAGCCUGUUUAUUCUUUUACAACAGCAAGGUCAUCCACAUCCUAGUGCAGCCUGUUUCUUCUUCUACAACAGCAAAGUCAUCCUGCAGGUGCACGGCAACUCUGAAAGCCUCUGUCUUCUACAGCAGCUAGGUCAGCCAUUCAGCCAGUGUCUUCUACAACAGAAAGGUCAGUCAUCCAAAGCCAGUGUUUUCUACAACAGCAAGGUCAGUCCUCCAGAGCCAGUGUAUUCUACAACUGCAAGGCCAGUCUCCUCCAGUGAAAGCCAGUGUUGCCUCAGUCUAAAUAAACAUGAAUAUGAGCAACCCCAUUGUUGUUGUCUUUAAAGUUUAUAUUUAAAUCAUUUCAAGUGUAACUGUAUAAGCCUGUGGUCUCUUGUCUCUCUUCUCAAUCAAGAUGACUGCAUCAUCAUUAAGUUAAGCAAGCCCAUUGUUGUCUUCUUUAUAUUCUAGAUAUAGUCUAGACCAAGUACAAGCCUGUGGUCUCUUGUCUCUAGUCUCAAUCCAGGUGAUGUCACUGCAUCAUCAAGUCCAUUGUUGUAUUCUUUCUUUAUAUUCAAGUGCAGCUAGCCUGUGUUCUCUUCAAUCAAGGUGACUGCAUCAUCAAUCCCAUUGUUUUUCUUUCUAUUUAUUCAAGUGCAGCAAGCCACUGUGUUCUCUACUUCUCUUCAACCAAUGUGUCUGCAUCAUAGCACUAUCAGCCUAUUUUCUUCUUCUUUAAAGUGCAGAAAGCCUGUGUUCUCUCUUCAAUCAAGGUGACUGCUUAAUCAAGCCCAAUAGCCCAUCGUUGUCUUCUUUAUAUUCAAGUGCAGCUAGCCUGUGUUCUCUCUUCAAUCAAGGUGACUGCUUAAUCAAGCGAGCCCAUUGUUGUCGUCUUUAUAUUCAAGUGCAGAAAGCCAGUGUUCUCUAAUUCUCUUCAAUCAAGAUGACUGCAUUAAAGCACUAAGUAUCAGCCUAAUUUUUUCUUCUUUAAAGUGCAGCAAGGCUGUGUUCUCUAUUCAAUCAAGGUGCACUGACUGCUUAAUCAAGCCCAUCGUUGUCUUCUUUAUAUUCAAGUGCAGCUAGCCUGUUUUCUCUUCAAUCAAGGUGACUGCAUCAUCAAUCCUAUUGUUGUCUUUAUAUUCAAGUUCAGCAAGCCAGUGUGUUCUCUACUUCUCUUCAAUAAAGGUGACUGCAUCAUAGCACUGUCAGCCUAUCUCUUUCUUCUUUAAAGUGCAGCAAGCCUGUGUUCUCUCUUCAAUCAAGGUGACAGCUUAAUCAAGCCCAUCAUUGUCUUCUUUAUAUUCAAAUGCAGCUAGCCUGUUUUCUCUCUUCAAUCAAGGUGACUGCAUCAUAUAGCACAUUGUUGUCCUCUCUUUAUAUUCAAGACUUUCAAGUGCAAUCCUGUGGUCUCUUGUCUUAAUUGCAACAGAAGCAUAUCAUCCAUUCUUUAAUUAUUAAUCAAAAUAAAUUGUGUGAUUCUAAUCAAAAAUCUUUAAGAAGCUUUUUUAAGACUGCUUCUGCUGCUUCAUCUCUGCAACUUGAAGAAGCUAUACUAGCAUAAUCAGAACUAAGCUAACUGCAUUAUCAAGGCCAUUCAAUAGUUCUCUGUCUUUGUAUUCAAGUGCAAGACUGUGGUCUAGUCUAUUUGUGCAACGGUUACCAGUGACACCUGACCCUACUGAUAUUGGCAGUGUGUGCGGUAGUAUAAUCUCCUCAUUUUUUGUGCCAGCUGGUAUUGUGUGGGUGGUACAUAAAAUUCAAGAUGAAUUCUGAAGAGCUGUCCGUGUCCAACAAUAACGACGAUGAUGAUGAAAAUUAUGUUGAUGUUGCUACAGAAUUGUUGUUGCCAAAGAAAAAUUCAACAUCAGUUGUUUGGGAAUAUUUUGGAUUCAGAAAAGAGGAUGUGAAACAGAACCAAGUAAUCUGCAAAACUUGUGGAACGAAGUAACACAUCAAACCUGUUCCAGCACCUUAAACAGCAUCAUAAGGAAAUCUUUGAACGAUGUAUGUCAAAAAAAAAAACCCUGGUAGAGAAAAGACAAUACAAACAAGCUGUGAAUCUAAAGUUGAGCAGCAAUCAAUCAAUCAUAAAGGCAUUGCAAACACAGUGACAUCACCAUAUGUGAAGACCUCAAAAAGGCAUAGAGAAAUAACCAAUGCUAUUGCAUAUUAUAUAUGCAAAGACAUGGUGCCUGCAUACACGAUUAGUAAAGAAGGCUUCAAAAGAAUGAUACACACACUCGACAAGAGAUACCAACUGCCAUCUUGCAAUUACUUCUGGAGAAAACUAAGUCAGUGUAUCAUAUGUGAAACCAGUUCUGCAUCUAUUAAACACAAAGAUACUGGCUCUGGAGGAAGAUGAUUCUGACCUUACCAAGACACUGAAAUCCAAAAUUCUUGAAUAUUUGAAUAAAAAAUUAAGAAGAUGAGGAUACUCAAGAUCUGCUAGAUAUGGCAUCAUUCCUUGAUCUACAAUUCAAGACAACCUACAUAAAUGUGGAUAAAAUUACAAGCAUCAAGGCCAAGGUGAUGUCUGAUAUGGCCAUUGUGUCUGAGCAGCAAGUCGUGCAGAUUUCAAGUCAGCUGGCCAGCUAAUUUCAUUUCAAUUAGCUUUGUGUGUCUUGAGUUCACUUGUUUGUAUUAUGUACUCUAACUAUAUUAGUGUUCUGUUAUGUACUACAGAAUAGCUGAGUGAUGUAAUAUGAAAGGUAGUGCAGGAUGUAAGGAUUGCCCUUGUCAAUGCCACAUCCCCCAUGUUUUCCUAGACAGUCACUCAGCUAAAUAACUAACACAUGCAUCAGUGUGCAUUGUAAUAGCUUUACUGUACUUAGAAACAGAACACACAUCAUGCUUCUGCACACUCAGCACUUUUCAGGUUUCUCCAUGCAUGCAAUGCAUACACUGUUUCAUAUGUUACUCAUACCACAGCUAGACUGACUGACCAGUGCCCAAGAAAACAAAGGACAAUGUGGUAAGAACUGGACAGCUAUUUUCAUUUCAAUUAGCUGUGUCUGUGUUGAGUUCAGUUGUUUGUAUUAUGUAUUGUACUAGUUACUCUAACUAUAACUGGUAUUCUACUUCUUACUGUGUUCUGUACUACAGCUAUCGCUGUAAAAAUUAAUGUAAUACGACAGGCUGCAGGAUGUCAGGAUUGACCUUGUCAAUGCCACAUCCCUCAUGUUUUCCUGGACAGUAACUCCUAAAAUGAAUAACACAUGCAGCAGUGUGUGCCUUCAUUGUACUUACUUUACUGCUAACUGCACUUAUAUUUAUUUAUAUAUACAGAACUUUACAAGUCAUACUGCUGUAAAGAGCAAUUUUCAGGUUUCUCCAUGCUUACACUGCUUCAUAUGUUAAUCAUACCACUGUGUCCACACUGUUAGAAUGACUGUCCAAUGAAACAUGAAUGUUGUGUGAACUUGUGUGUCAUAAGACCUAAUAACUGGCUAGUGGCUACUAUUUUAUCACAUCACAGGCAGCAAAUUUUAUUGUAACUAUUUUUUGUUUUGUAUUUUUAUGCUCAAAUAGUGUAUUGGACAUUGCUAAACAUGUACAUUAAGAUUCUGUAGUGUUAAAUAAAUUGUUUAAUGCUAAA